rnacentral:rRNA from 1 species
UACGUAGGGGGCAAGCGUUGUCCGGAUUCAUUGGGCGUAAAGAGCUCGUAGGCGGCUUGGCAAGUCGGGUGUGAAACCUCCAGGCUCAACCUGGAGACGCCACCCGAUACUGCCAUGGCUAGAGUCCGGUAGGGGACCACGGAAUUCCUGGUGUAGCGGUGAAAUGCGCAGAUAUCAGGAGGAAAACCGGUGGCGAAGGCGGUGGUCUGGGCCGGAACUGACGCUGAGGAGCGAAAGCGUGGGGAGCGAACAGG